rnacentral:rRNA from 1 species
GAUGAACGCUAGCUACAGGCUUAACACAUGCAAGUCGAGGGCAGCGCAGUGUAGCAAUACAUGGGCGGCGACCGGCGCACGGGUGCGUAACGCGUAUCCAACCUUCCCGUUACUCAGGGAUAGCCUUCCGAAAGGGAGAUUAAUACCUGAUGGUGUUCAAAUUCCGCAUGUUAUUUGAACUAAAGAUUUAUCGGUAACGGAUGGGGAUGCGUGACAUUAGCUAGACGGCGGGGUAACGGCCCACCGUGGCGACGAUGUCUAGGGGUUCUGAGAGGAAGGUCCCCCACACUGGAACUGAGACACGGUCCAGACUCCUACGGGAGGCAGCAGUGAGGAAUAUUGGUCAAUGGUCUGACGACUGAACCAGCCAUGCCGCGUGAAGGUGACGGCCCUAUGGGUCUUAAACUUCUUUUGUAAGGGAGCAAUAAGGUCUACGUGUAGAUUGAUGAGAGUACCUUACGAAUAAGCAUCGGCCAACUCCGUG